UGCUGGAGCACCAGGCUGUAGGGGGGGAGGGACGAUGGGGCAGGGGCAGAGGGGCUGAAUGGGGCGUGGAGGGGGCAGGCCCUCGGCCUCUUUGCACCGGGCAGAGUGACGAGCUUCGCCGGUGUCUUCAUUGAAGUCCUGUUGGUCCCUACCGGCACAUCACACACUCCUGGAAGCAUGAUCUUCACUCCCUUCCUUCCACCUGCUGACCUGGGGAGGAUACCGGGCACUCGGAAUCUGAGACCACCGGAGCCACAGACACAGGCGUGAACGGUGACCGAGCCCCCUCUGAUGCUCCAUGCCCCUGCUCGCCCCAGUGUCCCGGUCACCGGGCCUGAAAUAAAUGCUGGCACGCUUGACUGUUUUUGCUUUGUGGCAUUUGAUGUAACUUUCAACACGUCGGCUGAACUGGGGGUGGUCAGCUUUGGUGGUGGUGGGGUUGUGAAGGGAGAGAGCUAGCAUCUUCCUUAGCCCUGUUAGGCUGUCUGCCCUCCUCCUCGAGGCAGCGCUGCUUGUUACUAGGUCCUGGUGGCGAUGGGCUGUAGCCAAUCAACGGUGAGUUUUCCACGGCUCUCAGCUCUGACCCUGGCGGGGCACUUACAUGCAGGAAUGAGGACGGAAUAACAUCUCACAUGCAGGAAUGAGGACGGAAUAACAUCUCUCUUACCCCCAGCAAUGCACACAGUCUUCAUAUCUGAGGAAAACUGGGCGGUGUUUAUAUGCGGAGGCGAGAGGGUCAUGUGGAGGAAGAAUCUGUGGACCUCAGAAAAGGCGUUAACCCCUGUACUGACAAAGAGCUCCCAAGCCCCGCCUACUCCACCACAAGACAGAGACCCCUUCCAACAGACGGCCUUGUCUCCAACUAUGCAUUGUUCCUUUCCAUAAGAUGAGGACUUUAUUUUUUUUCUUUUGCCUUCCUAAGGUGACCUUGAUAUGUGUUGCAACACAGUAUCAGCAGGAGAAUUCUGAAAGGGGGGCGGUUGGAGCAUAAUUGUCCCUGUUAACUAACAACCAUGGAGGAGGCCCUGUUAGAAACUGCAGCACCAGGGGUCACCAAAGUAAAUGGACAAGGAUAUUGGAUGUGCUCUUUAGCAUCAAGAAGCCUAACUAGGACACAGGAACACCAAAAUUCUCUCUCCCCCUCCCCCGUCUCAUGCAGUCCCCUGUGCAAAGCCAGGGGAGGAAAAAAAAAAAAUGCUUUCUUAGGGCCUGCUGGGUGAAUUACUCACCCUCUGGUUCUUCAGAGGUCCAGGGCCUUUAAGCUCAAAUGAAAUCCAGAUGGGGUAAGGUUCAGGUAGGCGACAGCAUUUGGAAGUCCCACAGCCCUUUUCCUAUAUUCCUGGGGAACAGCCACGGUGAGACCCAUAGGUACUGAACAGACAGAGCUGUUAAUUAUGGAGUGAUGGAGUUCUUUAGAUCCCAUGUCUCUGCAGCUUUUUCGAUGGCACAGGUACCACCUAUCUCCCCACAAUGGCUCUGUCCUCCUGAGCUGGGCCCUAACUCAGUGGGGGAAGUUCAGCUCCAUGUUGCUGCUUCUCCAAAAGGGGCUAGGACUUGACAUCAUGGGGUUUAGCCCUAAACCCCAUGUUUAGUCCAAAAGAGGAGCAGCGUUCCAACUCCCUAGGG
rnacentral:lncRNA from 1 species